GGGGCCGUGGUGUAGUUUGGUCUAGCAUUGCAGCAUGGGGCGCUGCCGACCGGGGUUCAAAUCCUCGCGGCCCCA
rnacentral:tRNA from 1 species